rnacentral:pre_miRNA from 13 species
UAAAAAAUUUUUUGGGCCUUCUCUUCCCGGUUCUUCCUGGAAUUGGGAAAAGCUGGGUUGAGAGGGCGAAAAAAAUAAAUUU